rnacentral:rRNA from 1 species
UACGUAGGGGGCAAGCGCUGUCCGGAUUUAUUGGGCGUAAAGAGCUCGUAGGUGGUUCGGUAAGUCGGAUGUGAAAUCUCCAGGCUCAACCUGGAGGGGUCAUUCGAUACUGCCGUGACUAGAGGUCGGUAGGGGAGUGUGGAAUUCCUGGUGGAGCGGUGAAAUGCGCAGAUAUCAGGAGGAACACCCGUAGCGAAGGCGGCACUCUGGGCCGAUACUGACACUGAGGAGCGAAAGCGUGGGGAGCGAACAGG